rnacentral:rRNA from 1 species
GACGAACGCUGGCGGCGUGCCUAAUACAUGCAAGUAGAACGCUGAAGAGAGGAGCUUGCUCUUCUUGGAUGAGUUGCGAACGGGUGAGUAACGCGUAGGUAACCUGCCUUGUAGCGGGGGAUAACUAUUGGAAACGAUAGCUAAUACCGCAUAACAAUGGAUGACACAUGUCAUUUAUUUGAAAGGGGCAAUUGCUCCACUACAAGACGGACCUGCGUUGUAUUAGCUAGUAGGUGAGGUAACGGCUCACCUAGGCGACGAUACAUAGCCGACCUGAGAGGGUGAUCGGCCACACUGGGACUGAGACACGGCCCAGACUCCUACGGGAGGCAGCAGUAGGGAAUCUUCGGCAAUGGGGGCAACCCUGACCGAGCAACGCCGCGUGAGUGAAGAAGGUUUUCGGAUCGUAAAGCUCUGUUGUAAGUCAAGAACGAGUGCGAGAGUGGAAAGUUCACACUGUGACGGUAGCUUACCAGAAAGGGACGGCUAACUACGUGCCAGCAGCCGCGGUAAUACGUAGGUCCCGAGCGUUGUCCGGAUUUAUUGGGCGUAAAGCGAGCGCAGGCGGUUUGAUAAGUCUGAAGUUAAAGGCUGUGGCUCAACCAUAGUUCGCUUUGGAAACUGUCAAACUUGAGUGCAGAAGGGGAGAGUGGAAUUCCAUGUGUAGCGGUGAAAUGCGUAGAUAUAUGGAGGAACACCGGUGGCGAAAGCGGCUCUCUGGUCUGUAACUGACGCUGAGGCUCGAAAGCGUGGGGAGCGAACAGG